rnacentral:tRNA from 1 species
GCAGAGGUGGUUCAGUGGUAGAACUCUUGCCUUACGUCUAGGAGAGUCAGGUCUGAUUCCUGGCCAAUGCA